GGGCGGAUGGCGAAAUUGGUAGACGCAUCAGACUCAAAAUCUGACGAUGGUGACAUCAUGAGAGUUCGAUUCUCUCUCUGCCCA
rnacentral:tRNA from 1 species